AACAAAAACAUGUCUUUUUGAUUUUUUUUUAAAGUCUGACCUGCCCACUGAAAUAUUUUAAAUGGCCGCAGUAUACUAACUGUGCAAAGGUAGCAUAAUCAUUAGUCUUUUAAUUGAAGGCUGGUAUGAAUGGUUGGACGAGAUAUUAACUGUUUCAUGAAAAUUUAUAAUAGAAUUUUAUUUUUUAGUCAAAAAGCUAAAAUUUAUUUAUAAGACGAGAAGACCCUAUAAAUCUUUAUAUUUAUAUUAUUAUAAUUUUUUAGAUUCUUUUUAUUAUAAUAAUAGAUUAUAUUUUAUUGGGGUGAUAUUAAAAUUUAAUAAACUUUUAAUUGUUUAAAUCAUUAAUUUAUGAAUAAUUGAUCCGUUAUUAGCGAUUAAAAAAACAAGUUACUUUAGGGAUAACAGCGUAAUUUUUUUGGAGAGAACAUAUCGAUAAAAAAGAUUGCGACCUCGAUGUUGGAUUAAGAUAUAAUUUUAGGUGUAGCCGCUUAAAUUUUAAGUCUGUCGGACUUUUAAAUUCUUACGUGAUC
rnacentral:rRNA from 1 species